GGGGUGUUUAUGUUGUGUUUGGGCUGGAAACUGUCAUUCAGAUCUGGCAACCCUGGUUAGCAGAGAUCUGCUAUUUUCCUCUGUGGACAACAUACCUGUCAUCGCAACGUUACCAAAACGGCAUUGUUUUUUGUAGUGCGGUUGCCUGGAGGAGCUGGAGAGGGACAGGUGUAGCUCAUCAGGCUCAUCAGCUGGGCAGUAUAAGAGGAGACUGCGCCUGCACUUCUUUGCCUGAGCGUUUUGCCUUUGCGGUGGUGUUUACCUCUGAACCAGACUGAGCAGACCUGAGACACAGAGACUCUGUCUGAACCAAGUCCUGGAUCGAACCUUUUUGCUGACUCCCCGUCCAGUCCUCCAGCUGAGCGAAUCCUGUCCGCCUUCCCAGUGCCCUCCCAGCGCCCUCCGCUUGGCACCGCCUCGCCAGCCACGGCGGUAGAGACUACCACACACACACACCCCAGAUUCUGUGGC